AUGACAUCUUCACCUGGAAGAGAUUUUCGGGACUUCGAAAAGGAGCUGGGUGACAGCUUUUCUGUGAUCUUCAAUCCAGGAAAUUCUCCCAAGGACGUAAAAGAGCCAAAUCCCUCACCCUCCAGAAAGAGGAAAAUUGAGGAGGCAGAGGAUUCCUUGAUUCUGCACAGGAGAACAAUUGAAAAGAAGUCAAAAAGAGUCAAAUUCACGCAAGAAACAACGGAGGAAGCCCCAGUUUUGAAGAAAUUUAGAGAGGAAAACCCAGAGAGGUACAGGAAGCUGGAGCGGCGGAUGUGCACCAGGCUACCCAACCAAUCCAGCCCCGCUCCACCGCAAUACGUCCCAGCUUCACCACAAUACGUCCCUGUUUCACCGGAAUACAGCCCGGCUUCACCACAAUACGUCCCCGUUUCACCGGAAUACAGCUGCCCCGCUCCACCUCAAUGCGUCCCCGCUUCACCACAAUACGUCCCCGUUUCACCGGAAUACAGCCCGGCUUCACCGAAAAACGUCCCCGUUUCAAGUGAUUACAGCCCCGCUUCACCGGGUCCUGAGCUACCGGAAUAUUGUCUAGCAUCAAAUUCCGCGCUACAACCGGUGACAAGAGAAAACCCAUCAGAAUCUAUGAUGCACCGGGAGUUUCAUGCACCAACCCAGCCCAUCUCUCUAUCGACACCUGGAGAGACCCAGGCAUCAACAUCUGGGCUCUCACCUAUGAUACCACCUGGGUUUUGGAGGGAAACUUGCCAAUAUCCUCUUAAAGAGGAGUUAAAUGUUCUUAAUGAGCUUGUUGACAGCGUCCGCAUGGACUUACUCCAAACAUCAAUGUUGGGCAAAUGCUUGGUUGACAAAGUCUGCAGUCGGAACAUCAACUCUUCUUCUGGACACAAUUACGACAUCGAAUGCUGGGCGGUCUAUAUCAUUGCUCACAAUAAAAGAUCUCGUCUUGAAGGUUUUCAAAAUCGUAAUAUAUAAAUUUCUUCUUUCUUUUGUCUAUUUCUGGUCCAAAUGAUUUUUGAUAACAGCGAUGCUCUCAAUUGAUAUU
rnacentral:sRNA from 1 species